GACUCUCGGCAACGGAUAUCUCGGCUCUCGCAUCGAUGAAGAACGUAGCGAAAUGCGAUACCUGGUGUGAAUUGCAGAAUCCCGCGAAUCAUCGAGUCUUUGAACACAAGUUGCGCCCGAGGCCACUCGGCCGAGGGCAUAAUUGUAACGGCGGGG
rnacentral:rRNA from 1 species